AGCGAACGCUGGCGGCAGGCUUAACACAUGCAAGUCGAGCGGGCAUCCUUGUGGUGUCAGCGGCAGACGGGUGAGUAACGCGUGGGAACGUGCCCUUCGGGUCGGAAUAACUCAGGGAAACUUGAGCUAAUACCGGAUACGUGCGAGAGCAGAAAGGUUUAUCUGCCGAAGGAUCGGCCCGCGUCUGAUUAGCUAGUUGGUGAGGUUACGGCUCACCAAGGCGACGAUCAGUAGCUGGUCUGAGAGGAUGAUCAGCCACACUGGGACUGAGACACGGCCCAGACUCCUACGGGAGGCAGCAGUGGGGAAUAUUGGACAAUGGGGGCAACCCUGAUCCAGCCAUGCCGCGUGAGUGAUGACGGCCUUAGGGUUGUAAAGCUCUUUUCUCCGGGACGAUAAUGACGGUACCGGAGGAAUAAGCCCCGGCUAACUUCGUG
rnacentral:rRNA from 1 species